rnacentral:rRNA from 1 species
GAGUUUGAUCAUGGCUCAGGAUGAACGCUAGCGGCAGGCUUAAUACAUGCAAGUCGAGGGGCAGCGCAGUGUAGCAAUACAUGGGCGGCGACCGGCAAACGGGUGCGGAACACGUACGCAACCUACCCAAAACUGAUGAAUAGCCCUCCGAAAGGAGGAUUAAUACAUCGUAACUUAAUGAGGUGGCAUCACUUUAUUAAUAUAGCUCCGGCGGUUUUGGAUGGGCGUGCGCCUGAUUAGGUAGUUGGCGGGGUAACGGCCCACCAAGCCUGCGAUCAGUAACUGGUGUGAGAGCACGACCAGUCACACGGGCACUGAGACACGGGCCCGACUCCUACGGGAGGCAGCAGUAAGGAAUAUUGGUCAAUGGACGCAAGUCUGAACCAGCCAUGCCGCGUGAAGGAUGAAGGUCCUCUGGAUUGUAAACUUCUUUUAUAUGGGACGAAACCUCUUUUUCUAAAGAGACUGACG